UGAGUGACUACGGAAGACAAGGUGGAC
rnacentral:piRNA from 1 species